UCUGAUCCAAUCAAUGCGCUACCCCCACUUGGAGCGGAGCGCAUAUUCAAAUCCACUUUUUGGAGCGCAUUGCAUAUUCAAACCCGCGCAUUUGGAGCCAAACCCACUUGGAGAGCAUUUGGAGCGCAUUUAACCCACUUGGUUCAACAAUUUCAAAGGUACGUAGCUAUUUUUGGGCCGGCUAAUGUUGUGGUAAUGUUAUUUCAACCUGCUAGCUAGCAGAUAGAUGAUGCUAAUCUUAGCUGUGGUAAUGUCAUUUCUACCUGCUAGCGAGCUAAAUCUGGUUAAAACAUUAGGUAACAAAGUAAGAUUAAUUACUGCAGAUUAAUCACUGUAUUUGAGUGAUUGUUAAUGGUUAGUGGUUAUCUUUCAAAUGAUGCCUGUGAGGCACUUGACGUUGAGACUGGUUGACUUCCAGGCUGCUUUGGAAUAAGGAUACCUCUGAGGCAGCCACCAGUCUUUGGAUAACUCUGAGGCAUCAUAGGUAGUGUUGACUGCCAGGCUGCCUAGUCGUUGGUAUACAGGUUAACUCACAGGCAUCCAGUUGGUUUUAGAUACCUGUAAGGCAUCUAGACGGACAUUAAGAGGGGCUGACUCCCAGGCUGCUUACUAACACUGGUUAGCUCUCAGGCAGCCAAUUAGCUUUGGAUGCCUGUGAGGCACUUGAUGUUGAGACUGGUUGACUGUAGACUGAUAUCACUUAGUUAAAUUGUCCUCAUGCCUCCUCAUACAGAUAGGCCUAUUGAAUAAAUCUGCCAGAUUAUUUUUAACAUUGCAUAUGCCUAACAUUAUGUGAUAAUACUAAUCACACUCAUAUUGCCUUUCUCUUUCAGUUCAUGAAGAAAUGGCGCCCAGGAAGGUAGGACGGAAGCGGAAGGCCCUGCAGGUGUCAAAAGGUGGACCAUCUGCAAAGAUCGCGAUUUUCCACCAGUCACCACUGGUUGGUGGAG